rnacentral:rRNA from 1 species
UACGGAGGGUGCGAGCGUUGUCCGGAAUCACUGGGCGUAAAGGGCGCGUAGGUGGCCUGUGGAAGUCUGCGGUGAAAGCCCGGCGCUCAACGCCGGGUCGGCCGUGGAUACUCUCGGGCUUGAGCUUACUAGAGGCAGAUGGAAUUCCGGGUGUAGCGGUGGAAUGCGUAGAGAUCCGGAAGAACACCGGUGGCGAAGGCGGUCUGCUGGGGUAAUGCUGGACACUGAUGCGCGACAGCGUGGGGAGCAAACAGGAGUAGAAACCCCAGAUACGUCC